AACUAGGAUUAGAUACCCUAUUAUUUUAAGAAGAUGAAAAGAGGAAUAAGUUCGUUUGAAUUAAAAAAUUUGGCGGUUUUUUUACAAUUUAGAGGAGUGUGUUUUAUAAGGGAUAAUACACCAGAAAAUUUACUGUUUUUGAAGCUGUUAUACCGCUGUUUUUAAAUUAUUUUUGAUAAAAAUAUUUAUAAUUUUUUAUUUUUAAAGAGAACUUCAAGUACAGGUGAUGCAAUAAAAUAGAAUAAAUGCACUACAAUAAAAAUUUUUAGAACGGAUUAUUUUUUUUAAAAGUAUUAUGAAGGAGAAUUUAAAAGUAAAAUUUUAUAAUAAUUUGAAUUUUGAUCAAAAAAAUGUACAUAUCGCCCG
rnacentral:rRNA from 1 species